rnacentral:rRNA from 1 species
UACGUAGGGUGCAAGCGUUAAUCGGAAUUACUGGGCGUAAAGCGUGCGCAGGCGGUGAUGUAGGACAGAUGUGAAAUCCCCGGGCUCAACUUGGGAACUGCAUUUGUGACUGCAUCGCUGGAGUGCGGCAGAGGGGGAUGGAAUUCCGCGUGUAGCAGUGAAAUGCGUAGAUAUGCGGAGGAACACCGAUGGCGAAGGCAAUCCCCUGGGCCUGCACUGACGCUCAUGCACGAAAGCGUGGGGAGCAAACAGG